GAUGAAGAACGUAGCGAAAUGCGAUAAGUAAUGUGAAUUGCAGAAUUCAGUGAAUCAUCGAAUCUUUGAACGCACAUUGCGCCCCCUGGUAUUCCGGGGGGCAUGCCUGUUCGAGCGUCAUUUCACCACUCAAGCCUCGCUUGGUAUUGGGCAACGCGGUCCGCCGCGUGCCUCAAAUCGACCGGCUGGGUCUUCUGUCCCCUAAGCGUUGUGGAAACUAUUCGCUAAAGGGUGUUCGGGAGGCUACGCCGUAAAACAACCCCAUUUCUAAGGUUGACCUCGGAUCAGGUAGGGAUACCCGCUGAACUUAAGCAUUUCAAUAAGCGGAGGA
rnacentral:misc_RNA from 1 species